rnacentral:rRNA from 1 species
AUUGAACGCUGGCGGCAUGCUUUACACAUGCAAGUCGAACGGUAACAGGCCGCAAGGUGCUGACGAGUGGCGAACGGGUGAGUAAUGCAUCGGAACGUGCCCAGUCGUGGGGGAUAACGCAGCGAAAGCUGCGCUAAUACCGCAUACGAUCUAUGGAUGAAAGCGGGGGACCGUAAGGCCUCGCGCGAUUGGAGCGGCCGAUGUCAGAUUAGGUAGUUGGUGGGGUAAAGGCUCACCAAGCCAACGAUCUGUAGCUGGUCUGAGAGGACGACCAGCCACACUUGGACUGGGACACGGGCCAGACUCCUACGGGAGGCAGCAGUGGGGAAUUUUGGACAAUGGGCGCAAGCCUGAUCCAGCAAUGCCGCGUGCAGGAAGAAGGCCUUCGGGUUGUAAACUGCUUUUGUACGGAACGAAACGGUUCGGGUUAAUACCCUGGGCUAAUGACGGUACCGUAAGAAUAAGCACCGGCUAACUACGUGCCAGCCGCCGCGGUAACAC